ACUGAUUGUCAUCUAUUCAUCUAUGUGACACUCCUCUUGUUUUAUAUACAUUGAUACCAGACUCUAUCCAGCACUCUCACAUAUAACGUGAUCAAACAUGUUCACAUUUCUCUUCACUGUUACUGUCUCACUGCUCUGUGCUGCAGUUCUUGUUGAGGGGAGUGAAGUAACUCAGAUACCCACCAUACUCUGGAAACUGAAAGAAAGCGAUGCUCCGAUGAACUGCAGUCACACUAAGGGAUCUAGCUACUACCAGAUGUACUGGUACAGACAGCUUCCAGGAGAGGGAAUGAAGCAGGUAGUUUACACUACUUCCAGUUCCAAACCUGAGUAUUCAUGGGAUUUCAGUGAAGACAAAUUCUCAGCCAAGAAGACUGUAGCUGAGAGUGGAUCUUUCACAGUGAAGAAGUUGGGGACAGGAGACAGCGGCAUGUACUUCUGUGCUGUGAGUGAACACAGUGAUACAGACAACAAGUACAGCUGUACAAAAACCCNNNNNNNNNNNNNNNNNNNNNNNAAAUCUGAUAUUGGUGAGUGCUAAACUUGCCGGGUGUCUAAAUAGCUAGCCCGUGAUGGCUGGGCUAUGUACUUAGAAUAUUGCAAAAUGUGCUUUCACCAAAAAGCUAUUUUAAAAUCGGACAUAUCGAGUGCAUAGAGGAGUUCUGUAUCUAUAAUUCUUAAAAUAAUUGUUAUGCUUUUUGUGAACGUUUAUCGUGAGUAAUUUAGUAAAUUGUUAGCAAAUUCCCCGGAAGUUUGCGGGGGGUAUGCUAGUUCUGAACGUCACAUGCUAAUGUAAAAAGCAGUUUUUUGAUAUAAAUAUGAACUUGAUUGAACAAAACAUGCAUGUAUUGUAUAACAUAAUGUCCUAGGUGUGUCAUCUGAUGAAGAUCAUCAAAGGUUAGUGCUGCAUUUAGCUGUCUUCUGGGUUUUUGUGACAUUAUAUGCUAGCUUGAAAAAUGGGUGUCUGAUUAUUUCUGGCUUGGUACUCUGCUGACAUAAUCUAAUGUUUUGCUUUCGCUGUAAAGCCUUUUUGAAAUCGGACAGUGUGGUUAGAUAAAGGAGAGUCUUGUCUUUAAAAUGCUGUGAAAUAGUCAUAUGUUUGAAAAAUUGAAGUUUUUGUAUUUUUGAGGAAUUUGUAAUUCGCGCCACGCCUAUCAUUGGAUAUUGGAGCAGGUGUUCCGCUAGCGGAACGUCUAGAUGUAAGAGGUUAAUCUAUUCUUCCACGCCCAGAAACCUGCUAAUUUUACUCUAUGUUCGUUAUGCGCUAGAUGACCAGUUCUUAUAGCCUUUAGCCAUACCCUUAUCCUAUUCAAAUCAAAUCAAAUCAAAUGUAUUUAUAUAGCCCUUCUUACAUCAGCUGAUAUCUCAAAGUGCUGUACAGAAACCCAGCCUAAAACCCCAAACAGCAAGCAAUGCAGGUGUAGAAGCACGGUGGCUAGGAAAAACUCCCUAGAAAGGCCAAAACCUAGGAAGAAACCUAGAGAGGAACCAGGCUAUGAGGGGUGGCCAGUCCUCUUCUGGCUGUGCCGGGUGGAGAUUAUAACAGCACAUGGCCUAGAUGUUCAAAUGUUCAUAAAUGACCAGCAUGGUCAAAUAAUAAUAAUCAUAGUAGUUGUCGAGGGUGCAACAAGUAAGCAACACAAGAGUAAGUGUCAGUUGGCUUUUUCAUAGCCGAUCUUUGAGAGUAUCUCUACCGCUCCUGCUGUCUCUAGAGAGUUGAAAACAGCAGGUCUGGGACAGGUAGCACGUCCGGUGAAUAGGUCAGGGUUCCAGCAGGUCUGGGACAACAGGUCUGUGACAGGUAGCACGUCCGGUGAACAGGUCAGGGUUCCAUAGCUGCAGGCAGAACAGUUGGAACCGGAGCAGCAGCACGGCCAGGUGAACUGGGGACAGCAAGGAGUCAUCAAGCCAGGUAGUCCUGAGGCAUGGUCCUAGGGCUCAGGUCCUCCGAGAGAGAGAGAGAGAGAGAAAGAAAGAAAGAAAGAAAGAAAGAAAGAAAGAAAGAAAGAAAGAAAGAAAGAAAGAAAGAGAGAGAAUUAGAGAGAGCAUAUUUAAAUUCACACAGGACACCGGAAAAGACAAGAGAAAUACUCCAGAUGUGACAGAUUGACCCUAGUCCCCCGACACAUAAACUACUGCAGCAUAAAUACUGGAGGCUGAGACAGGAGGGGUCAGGAGACACUGUGGCCCCAUCCGAUGAAACCCCCGGACAGGGCCAAACAGGUAGGAUAUAACCCCACCCACUUUGCCAAAGCACAGCCUCCACACCACUGGAGGGAUAUCUCCAACCACCAACAUACCAUCCCGGGACAAGGCCGAGUAUAACCCACAAAGAUCUCCGCCACGGCACAGCCCAAGGGGGGGGCACCAACACAGACAGGAAGACCACGUCAGUGACUCAACCCACUCAAGUGACGCACCCCUCCCAGGGACGGCAUGGAAGAACACCAGUAAGCCAGUGACUCAGCCCCCGUAACAGGGGUAGAGGCAGAGAAUCCCAGUGGAAAGAGGGGAAACUGGCCAGGCAGAGACAGCAAGGGCGGUUCGUUGCUCCAGCCUUACUCCUCCUCUGUUCCUCUGGUGAUGUAGAGGUUAAUCCAGGCCCUGCAGCGCCUAGCUCCACUCCCAUUCCCCAGGCGCUCUCAUUUGUUGACUUCUGUAACCGUAAAAGCCUUGGUUUCAUGCAUGUUCACAUUAGAAGCCUCCUCACUAAGUUUGUUUUAUUCACUGCUUUAGCACACUCUGCCAACCCAAUGUCCUAGCCGUGUCUGAAUCCUGGAUUAGGAAGGCUACCAAAAAUCCUGAAAUUUCCAUCCCUAACUAUAACAAUUUCCGACAAGAUAGAACUGCCAAAGGGGGCGGAGUUGCAAUCUACUGCAGAGAUAGCCUGCAGAGUUCUGUCAUAGUAUCCAGGUCUGUGCCCAAACAAUUUGAGCUUCUACUUAUAAAAUUCCACCUUUCCAGAAACAAGUCUCUCAUUGUUGCCACUUGUUAUAGACCACCCUCUGCCCCCAGCUGUGCCCUGGACAUCACAUGUGAAUUGAUUGCUCCCCAUCUAUCUUCAGAGCUCGUACUGUUAGGUGACCUUAACUGGGAUAUGCUUAACACCCCAGCCGUCCUACAAUCAAAACUAGAUGCCAUCAAUCUCACAUAAAUUAUCAAGGAACCUACCAGGUACAACCCCAAAUCUGUAAACAUGGGCAUCCUCAUAGAUAUCAUCCUGACCAACCUGCCCUCUAAAUACACCUCUGCUGUCUUCAAACAAGAUCUCAGCAAUCACUGCCUCAUUGCCUGCAUCCGUAAUGGGUCCGCGGUCAAAUGACCAUCCCUCAUCACUGUCAAACGCUCCCUAAAACCCUUCAGCGAGCAGGCCUUUCUAAUCGACCUUCCAGGUAUCCUGGAAGGAAAUUGACCAUAUUCCGUCAGUAGAGGAUGCCUGGUUAUUCUUUAACCUCUCUGGGCUAGGCGGGACGAAUUCGUCCCACCUACGUAACAGCCACUUGAAGCCUGUGGCGCGAUUUUCAAAACCUUAAAAAUCCUAUUACUUCACUUUUUCAAACAUAUNNNNNNNNNNNNNNNNNNNNAGUAUAUUUAUC
rnacentral:lncRNA from 8 species